UUUUUUAAAAGCCAAGUACUGUCCAGUUUCCUGUGGCUGGAUGUCUUUGUUUCCCUUUAGCCAGUCCUAGCUUCUCAAAUGCACCAUUAUUUUAUCUCUUAUACUAACAGGUAGAUAGCUGCUGUUGGGGAUACUUCCAGAGUGGGGCGACAUUGGGGCCGAGCCUCUGGUUUGUACUGCACAGAGUGACAAUUAACCAAGGUCUUUUGGAGGAAAGAAUAGCUCAAGAGCAAUUUAAGCCAGAUCAAGACAAACUGGAAAAAUAAAAGAACAGGUUUAUUUGAGCAAAGCAACGCCUAGCAAAGUAAGAAGUGGAGCCAAGCAGGGAGCCAUGAAAAAGUGGCACCGUGUGAGAGUGAGGUGGAGAACCUUCUAGGAGGCCAGACUACAAGUGUUGAGAAAGAUGAGUUGGAGCAGGAGAAACUGAAGCUACAGAGACCACCCUAACCUUACCCCUGAGUCAUGAGAGGCAGGAAGGAUUUGGAAUCGGGCAGUGGGGCUUCAGGAAAUGGAGAGAAUGUGAAUGCAAGGGGGAAGGAAGGACUCACUGACUCUGAGCUCGCAGCCUGCGGAAGGGAGAGGCAGGGGAAGUGAAGACAAGUCAGGAUGACUCCGAUUUUCCGAGUUCCUCCUCCUCCCUUCCCUUCCCACUCACCCUGUCUCCCUCUGGGUUCCACAGCCAGGCUUUUGGUCCCAGCUCCCACGUCCAUCAAAUGCAACACAGACAAAUCUGUUUCCUCUGCUUUGUUCACAGGGUGUCAUAAAUCAGCACACUCCUGCCCCCACCCCCGCCUCCCUUCCCCAGCCCCCAGCAGGCCACACAUCUUUUUGAACUUGCUUCCCUUUUUCCUGUUUAUGGUCAUUUAAGAACUCCGACCAGUGCCUAGGAUGGCAAAGACAGACACAUGGCUCCUGAGAGAAC